rnacentral:ncRNA from 1 species
GAGGAGUUUUAUUCUUGCUUUUGUUGUUCAGUGUUUGCUUGUCCUAUAUGUAAGUUUUUGCGUUUGUUUUGAUUUAUCUCUAAAUGGGUUGAUUUCAUGAUAUUUUAAUUUUCAUUAGUUGUUAUUGGUUGGUUAGGUUUUCUUUUAUCCAGCAAUGCAUUUUAGUUUCGGUUAAAUUUUGUGCCAGCAGCCGCGGUUAUACCUUGGAGGCGUUUGAAUUGGUUUGGUGUAGUAGUUUUAUGUUUGUGUUUGGCUUUUUAUUGGUGGGUUUUGUGGGGUGAAAUCUUUUACUUUUGGUUAAUGUUCGUUGUUUGUUUGGAGGCUGCGAAACUCUCGUUUGUAGACUAGGAUUAGAUACCCUAUUAUUUUGAGUGUUAAUUUUAUUUGCCUGAGUAGUAUUAGUUGUGUUCUUGAAACUUAAAGAAUUUGGCGGUAUCUUACUCCAUUCAGAGGAAUCUGUCUCGUUAUCGAUAGUCCGCGUUGGACCUUACUUGGAUUAUUUUGGUUUGUAUACCGCCGUUUAUUGAUCAUCUUUUUAGGGUGUUAAAUUUUCUGGUUUCUUUAUUUUGAUUUAUUGCAGGUCAAGGUGCAGCCUUUUUCAAGUGUAAUGAUGGAUUACAGUGGUAUGUGUUGUUUGGAUUAUUUGGUUUUAAUACUGAUAUGAAAUUGGAUUUGGUUGUAAUGUUUUGUAGAUUGUUUUCAUGAUAAUUGGUUCUAGGAUAUGUACACAUCGCCCGUCGCUCUCAUUUGUUUUGUUGGUGAGAUAAGUCGUAACAAAGUGGCUGUACCGGAAGGUGUGGCUGGAAUGAU